rnacentral:rRNA from 1 species
AAGAAACCAACAGGGAUUGCUCUAGUAACGGCGAGUGAAGCAGCAAUAGCUCAAAUUUGAAAUCUGGCGUCUUCGACGUCCGAGUUGUAAUUUGUAGAGGAUGCUUCUGAGUGGCCACCGACCUAAGUUCCUUGGAACAGGACGUCAUAGAGGGUGAGAAUCCCGUAUGCGGUCGGAAAGGCGCUCUAUACGUAGCUCCUUCGACGAGUCGAGUUGUUUGGGAAUGCAGCUCUAAAUGGGAGGUAAAUUUCUUCUAAAGCUAAAUAUUGGCCAGAGACCGAUAGCGCACAAGUAGAGUGAUCGAAAGAUGAAAAGCACUUUGGAAAGAGAGUUAAAAAGCACGUGAAAUUGUUAAAAGGGAAGGGAUUGCAACCAGACUUGCUCGCGGUGUUCCGCCGGUCUUCUGACCGGUCUACUCGCCGCGUUGCAGGCCAGCAUCGUCUGGUGCCGCUGGAUAAGACUUGAGGAAUGUAGCUCCCUCGGGAGUGUUAUAGCCUCUUGUGAUGCAGCGAGCGCCGGGCGAGGUCCGCGCUUCGGCUAGGAUGCUGGCGUAAUGGUCGUAAUCCGCCCGUCUUGAAACACGGACCAAGGAGUCUAACAUCUAUGCGAGUGUUCGGGUGUCAAACCCCUACGCGUAAUGAAAGUGAACGGAGGUGAGAACCGCAAGGUGCAUCAUCGACCGAUCCUGAUGUCUUCGGAUGGAUUUGAGUAAGAGCAUAGCUGUUGGGACCCGAAAGAUGGUGAACUAUGCCUGAAUAGGGUGAAGCCAGAGGAAACUCUGGUGGAGGCUCGCAGCGGUUCUGACGUGCAAAUCGAUCGUCAAAUUUGGGUAUAGGGCGAAAGACUAA